rnacentral:rRNA from 1 species
AUGCACGCUGGCGGCGUGCCUAAUACAUGCAAGUCGAGCGAACAGACGAGGAGCUUGCUCCUCUGACGUUCGCGGCGGACGGGUGAGUAACACGUGGAUAACCUACCUAUAAGACUGGGAUAACUUCGGGAAACCGGAGCUAAUACCGGAUAAUAUAUUGAACCGCAUGGUUCAAUAGUGAAAGACGGUUUUGCUGUCACUUAUAGAUGGAUCCGCGCCGCAUUAGCUAGUUGGUAAGGUAACGGCUUACCAAGGCAACGAUGCGUAGCCGACCUGAGGGGGGGAUCGGCCACACUGGAACUGAGACACGGUCCAGACUCCUACAGGAGGCAGCAGUAGGGAAUCUUCCGCAAGGGGCGAAAGCUUGACGGAGCAACGCCGCGUGAGUGAUGAAGGGCUUCGGAUCGUAAAACGCUUUUAUUAGGGAAAAAAAAAUGUGUAAGUAACUAUGCACGUCUUGACGGUACCAAAUCAGAAAGCCACGGCUAACUACGU